rnacentral:lncRNA from 1 species
AGCAGGGAUUGCACACGCAUGUGCAAGGCUGGGACCUGCUCUCACUGUGAUCUGCAGCCACUGCAGGCUGAGAGGGUCAAUUCCCAGCUGGCACCGGGUACAGCAUCUCCCCGUCCUCCCUCUUCCCACUGAGCUGUAUCCAUGCUGCACCAACAAGAAACGCAUGGAGAAAGCAAAGGAAUGGGAAGCAACCAGAGAUGUGCUGCUCCCCGCACCCUGCAGCUCAGCUCCAGCACAGCCCUGUGGGGAACCCUGAAAUUGGAGCUGUCUGAGCAAAUUCAGGACACUGGAGGUAAAACCAGAAUGAAGCAUCAGGGCAGGAGCAAAAGAAAAACAAGUUCUCCACACCCUCUGAGCUGAGGAGGCUGGGAAUGGAGGUGACAGAGGCUGAAAAAUGUGUUCCACACAGGAUUGUGUGUGCAGAAAGAGCAGGUGGCAGCAGGAACCCCCGCCCAGCUCCGAUUCUGCGUUACUCAAGUCUAAGAAAUUGUGUCCUUGCUUGCAUUAACAACUUCUCCAAAGUCUUCAUUUGCAUUUUAAUGGAACUCUUUCUAGGAAGGUGGUGCUUGGACUCCAUUGCAAUAUAAAAUGAAGAGGUAAUUAAAAACAUUCCGGAGUGAAAAAGCAUUUUGUUCUCAUUUAUCAGGUUUAUUCAAUAUAUUUUCAAAAUCAAAGGUAUUUAGGGUAUGUGGGAGGAAACGGGGGGAAAACAUACGAUGCAACAUCCGUUUAUUUAAAUUACAGAUUAAAAAGUGGAAAAUACACUUUUUGUGAGGGGACAUCCUAGGGAUUAAAAGUACCUUACAGAAAUGGAUUUGAACGAAGAGUAGGCAUAAAAAUCAAGUCUAAGAUUUCUACAGCAGUCUGCCUACUUGAAAGCCAGAGACGAAGGAAAUAUUUAGGAUGAGGGAAAGGAAACCACGGAGGAAAUUUUUAAACCUUCGGCACGUAAUUAGCCAGGCAAUUACCGUCAUUACACACCUAAGUCAGUUAACUAUACAAACGGCCAACCCCGUUGGUCAGACACUUAUUUCCCCAAUUUCG